GCUACUGAUGGGGUUUGCCUAGAGAUAAGGCUGUGUGGAAUAAGAUAUAAGGCUUUUGAUUGGCUAUUGCACUGAGGAAGUUAUCUUUUUGAAAACAACAACUUUUGAAAAACAAGCUGGUGUCAGCAAUUGAAUAUUGAGCUAAAUUUAAUUCAGCAACAUUAAUAUAAAGAAGUGAAAGACUUAUAAUGGUAGUGUAAAAUGUCUUGAAAUUCUGUCAGCAUGAAGUAUUGUGUGAUGAAAACAAUGUGUUUUUUACUGCAAUGUGGAAAUCAAUAAUAAGUUGGUUGGAAAGGGGGUUGAACUGCCUGUUGUUGUUUUUGGAAUACUGAAGAACAGUUUUAACAGGUUAAACUCUUGCCACAAGGCAAAAUUGACAUCGAUGGGAAGAUCCUUUGGAAAGAAUGUGCAUCAUCGCCUGCCUGAUGUAUGGACUUUUAAACCUGGUUUUUACCCUGCACAAGCUGGCAAACUUGAGGGGAACAAGAGUGGGAAAACCUCGCCCUGUCCUUGACCAAGAAAGCUCGAUUUGUUGAGAGAUCAACUGGCAUAAGAGAUGCUCAAGAGGAGAAGGACACAAGCAGCAUCAAUGGUACAACUACAUGUCGCUCCAGCGCCCGCUUUCCAGGUCUCUACCAGCUGCUUUCCAGGUCCCUCCACCCGCCAAGAUCAGGUCUAGGUCCCUGCACUGGCUGCUUUCCAUGUCCCCUAGCGGUCAAGGUCUCUCCAGUAGCUGCUGUGCAGGUCCCAACACCGUAUGCCGUCAAGGUCCCUCCAUAAGCUGAAAUCCAGGUUCCUCAUUCCACUGCGGUUCAGGUACCUCCAACAGCUGAGAUCCAGGUCUCUGCAGCAGCUGCGGUCUAAAUACUCCACCCGCAGUGGUCCAUUGCGGUCAACCUUUUGCUUUCAAAUCUUCCAUAAAUGUCUAUUAUUGUAUUAUGUAUUGUAAAA